UCAAUAGCCAUUGAAAAUGACAUCCACUCUUUAUCCACGGAACAGAGAAGCAUGGGCAGCAGCAAUGCAAGCUUCCCCACACUACUCUGUAAAUGUGCUUUUACCAGCUGAUCUUGUCCUUGCGCCUCUAGUUCAGCCUUUAUACUUUUUCAAACCCUUAGCCUUUCUGUUUAG
rnacentral:sRNA from 1 species